AGCCCCUAAAUCAGUCUGAUGCUGAGCUAUUGCAUUUUGUUGCAUUCUUUUUUAAAGGUCCUUCGUCUUUAAAUUCACUAAUCAUUGCCUCCUCGUCUGUUGCAGAGAAAAUGCGCCAGACCCCCGUCCGCACAAUCGAGCGGCUUUUCCGAGCCUUCAUCGUGCUGGUCUGCCUGUCUCUGCCGACGGUCCUGGGACUCCCACUCUACGGCGGCAAGCGCUUCGCCCGCUCCAGCCUCCACUACCCCCAACGCUCGGCCUCCGCCCUCCAGUGGACCCCGCUCCCGUUCGCCGCCUACCAGCCCCGCGUCACCCGCUACUACCCACCCUACUCGCAGGACUACUCCCUCGAGGACUACUACCCCCAGGCCGCCUACUACUACACCCCGCCGGCGGCCGAGGACGCCACCUACCCCUACUACUACGUCGACCGCCCCGCCGGCUACUACGCCUACAAAGACCCCUACGAAGAACCCUACGAGGAAGAACCUACCGACUAUGAAUUCGCCGAACGGCGACCGUGGUUCGACGACUCCAACGACCUAGACACCCAGAACUCGGACGCUAUCUCGGGCACUAUCGUCUUCGGGCCGGCGCAGUCAACGGCUCGGCGGGACGACACUCCGAUCACCUACGGCAAGAAGAAGCUCUCGAAAUACGACGAUGAGGACGAGGACGUUCGCGAGUUGAAGAGCUUGAUCUACGGCGAGGCGAAGCCGCCGAAGAAGCACCAUCACGACACGGACUCGGACGAACAGAGCGUCUACAUCGCGGAGCGCGAUGGGGUGUUCGACCUGCCGCGGGCCCGGUGGCCGAAGAAGAGCGCGCUGAAGCCGCUGCCGCCGCUGAGCCGGGCCCAGCCGGAGCUCUUCGAGGAGCCGCACCGCGUGAGCGACCGCAAGACGCCGUCCUCGGUCCCGGCGCCGGCGCCCACUCUCCCGACGAGCACGCCGAAGAACGGGCAGAAGGAGGAGCUGUACCAUCGGCCGGCGGGAAGCCAGCUGGCGGCUGUCCGACCUCAUGGCAGCCCGUCGGUUAUCGAUACCAUCAAGUCGCUUCUCAGUCUGGAAGAUAGUCUCAACAAGGGCGAAGAAUCAGGCAAACCGCAGAAGCGAUCUCUGGUGACGAGCGAAGAUGCCCUCGUUAAGGAUCUAGGAGCGCUGCGAAAAAAGGAAAACUACUUCCGACAGUAAACUAGAGGUGACGUUAAUUUGGUCAUAUCCCAGCUCCGCAUCUUCCAUCCACUCAGGUUGAGGCAACCUGAGUCAACUAACACGAGGGAAUUUAACUCAACCAGGCUGUAACGCCACGUCUCCUCUCCAUCUUUUAUAUUUUCCCCCUCUUUUUUAUUUUGUCUCAAUUUUUUUAAUCGCUCCUUUUUUUCAACUUUGUAAAAAGGUUCUGCUGUGACGGUGCAACCUUUUUUCGGGGAAUAUUUGUUUGUUGCGUCAUUGAAUCAAGACGUUAAGAGCUAAAUUAGCCCAUCCUCCGACCUUAUAUUUUCAUUUGUAAUGUAAUAGGAAGCACUAUCUUAGAAUAAAACCUUUAAGGUAUCUUUUUCACAUCUUAAAUUCAUUAAAAGUCUCAAUUUAACUAUAAUCCUGAUUCCAGAAAGAGGGGUGCAAACUUAGCAAAGACUCUGAAGGUGUCGAGUGCAGAUUGUAAGGGGAAUCCUCCACAACGCACUGACUACCUAUUCAGUGGAAAAGAAUGCAAAAGUUUACACAUUUAGUCAGUUUUUAAUAUUCCAUCCUCUUCGAAAAAUAUUCGCUGUGGCUAAAAAAAACGAGUUCAUUCAAGCUUUAAAUGCAUAUAAAGAAAAGUCUUGAAAUGACGAUCACCUGACAUUUAUUCACCCCCCCCCCUUCUUUAUAAAUACUUCUGUGACAUUUUACCCAACUUACUCUUGUAAGUAUUCACUUUUUCUACACCUACCUAAUUAUGUUACGUCUCAUUUCUACUAUCCACUCCUUAUUUUUCCAUCCUCUUUCUACAUAUGAAAUUGACUUCGAAGGAAGAUUGUAAGGAAAAUAUGUUUGAAAUUAUAAAGAAAAUCAAUAAAAAAUUAAUUGAUAUCCAAGUGAAAGUAGUAGAAAAUAAGUUGAAAAGUUGUGAAAUUUUAUUUUUAAAAGAUACGCUAUCAAUGAAUAAACUAUUUUAUAUAAUCUUUUAAGAAAGUAUUUUUAUACAUGAAAUUCGAUAGUGAUCACGAAGAACGAUGCUCAAAGCUCAGAUCAAAUAUUAUUUUUUUCUUGAAGCGGGAAGAAGAACAAUAAAAUCUUUAAGUAUGCAAGUCAAAAAGUAACAAAAUUCCAAAAGAAAAAAAUUAAGCAGGCUGCUGCGCUAAACUCAGUUUUCGAAACCCUCUUCUCAGAGAACUUGGUCCGAAGUGGAAAAAUUUUUUACGCAUAAGUUUUUGUAAAAAUCUCAAAAAUUAUCAUUCACUCAUUCAUUUUAUAACUAUUUCUGAUUACGACGUUGCAUAUCAUUUACACUUUCUCAACAUGUCUGCAACAUGAAUAAACUACGAUUCUCCGAAAAAUUUUUCGAUUCACCAAUCAAUCAUUUAUGUAUAGUUUUACUACUUGCGGAAAUCUAAUGAAAGAAAAGAAACACCUUCAUUGUAUCCCGAGGAUGAAAAAUCAUGAAUGCUACACACAAACAGAUGUUCGAUUAGGCACUUAUUAUUUAAACUAUGAUUACCAAUUUUCAAUCAACUCUAACAAAUUAAUGUUGUUUAAAUACCUGUAUUAGCUCUUCUUGUCUUGAUAUAUAUAUUCAUUAAGCAGCCUAAAAUCUAGGUAUCGUCUGUUUGUGUCUUGAACACAUUUUUACGAUACUAUGAAUUCAAAGCGUCAUCGCAAGUGAUGAAAAGCGGCAGUUCAAUACCAAAAAAAUAACUUGUUUUAGUUGACGCAAACUAACUGUCAAUUAUUUUCAGAUAAAGUCUGCCGUUCUCCAAAAAAAAUACAUAAGUAAAGACGGUGUGAAGACGAACAAAACAAACGAUGAUACCUGCCUAUUUAUGUUUAAAUAAAAGCUACAACUGUAAGGAAAGAAGUAGGUGUAUACUGACUAGAAAUGAACACAAUCUAACUCGAGUUUAGGGUCAUGUUCAUAGGUCCCUAUUAACUUAAAGGCCCCCUUAUAACAAGUGCAUUGCUCAUAGCUUUAAGCAGGACUUCACUUUAAAAGGCCUCAACGGGUCAUAAGGGAUCUAUUAGUGAGGGGUGCCUUCCUGUUAAAAGAAAAAAUCAUGAGGAUGGCCCUUUUUUGUGAAAAAACAAUGUGAAAAAACAAUCUUUCGGUUUUCUUUAAGCUUGUCAAUUCGUGAUCUCAAUUUUUUUUAAAAUAAGUGAUCAUUGUCCUUUAUUGACUUUCUUUUACAGUAAACUGUUAAAUUAGUAAUUUAAAACAGCGUAGGGGAAUUGAUGAUUUGAAGUUUUUUCUCUGCUCCCUCUUUGAGCGUCAAAAACUAACUUAUUCUUUCCCUUGAAAAGACUUAUUAGAGUUUAAGGUUAACUUUUAAUAUUUAAUUUUUAUAUUUGAGUGGAUAGCUCCGAGAAGGUGACGAAUCUAAAGGUUGGACACGAAGCAGAUCAAAGUGUUAGAGAAUUGUAAUAGAUGUAAAAACGCGAGUGCCAAAAAUUCUUUAAUUCAAGGGUGAUUCUUUGAAAAAUUCAAGGCUUAGUUUUCGACGCCUGUAUUAUGUAUAACACUCCUUUAAAUUUCGUCGGAAGACACUCUCGAAAAUACGUACUUAUUUUUUCGUGAAUGGAUGUUGCUGUUAACUUUGUUGAGUUUAGGCUCAAGUGCUAAUCUACUUGCUCCUGUCUCAACUUUCGCUUGUCUCUUACUAUAGGCUCGCGCCCCCACGUUGAGUCAAAAUUGGCCCGCGUUUAGCAGAAAGGAACCAAGUCACAUCGGCUCUUGCCGAAUUUAACUAGGUGAUUUAACAUUUUACAACAAAACGUUUGUGCGGAUUCCUUUGAAAUUUUUGAGGAAUUUGCUUCAUACUAUGCAGAAUAUUCACUGAAAUUUGCUCAAAAAUCCGCAUAACCGUUUCCAUCAAAAAAUUAAAUUGCCCGAUUACAUUUGGCAAUAGCUGACGUGGCUUGGUUCCUCUCUCCUCAACACGGUCCAAUUGAAAAUUGAUCGUAGGAUACGGCUGAAAGGAGUGAUUCUCAUCGUUCACAUUUCAAAAGUGGAAAGUUUACAGCUUUACUGUAAUUUGACACUCACAGUGGCACCUGGUCAUGACAAAAACUCAAGGAGUGGAUACAUUUUUCCGUUAAACACAGGCUUCUCACAUAAGCAAGUCUACGUUCUUUGCUGUAGAGAAUCUACGGAAAAUCCGGAAAAAAUCUCUAUUACGAGUGGUUGUCUGCUACUAGCAAGUUUUGCUAUGACUUUAUUCAUUGUAUGCUGUGACAAUUAUACGGAGUUUUAUCAUGAGGAGACGCUAAAGUCUUCUUUAUUCCUUGAACGUUUGAGAUCCUCUUAUCAAAUGCGAUGUUGCCGUAGGCAACAGAAAAAUAGCUGACUACGCAAAAUUCUAGUUUAAGUAGGGCGCGCGUUCUUUGCGCGGAAAAUUGUUUGUAUGAGGAAAAACUGAACUGCAUUCUACAAUCAGGAACUGCAGUUUCUGUCUAAGUUUAGAAACAGCGUGUGUGCUUUUAGUUUUCCUACGCACAUAAAUGUUUCCAUCGAUGAGCCAUGUCACGAGGAGUCGUGUGGGAUCAGUGGCGUGGCGUGAAUGGUCGAUUAUCGAUAUUUCUCCAUUUUAAUCCGUGGUAAAGAAUCGAUUAUUAAGGUGUUCGCUGCGAACGCCCUAUUAAUCGAUCCUUUUCCAUAGGUUUAAAUGACAGAUCAAUCGAUAUAUCGCGAAGCACGCCACGCCACUGUGUGGGAUGUGGGGGAUUAUGAAGGUGUAUGUUUCGGCCUUUCACACCAGCCAUACUGUCUAUUACGUGUGUGUAGUUAGACACUCUUGUUUGUUUACCCGUGUAUUUUUUUAAUAAUGAAUUGUUUGAAUAAUGAGCAAUUGUGAAUGUAUGUAAAAACAAAUAGAUUUUAAUAAAGAAGACAAUUUUGUAUGAACACUCAAUUUUUUUUUCUUUCAUUUUUACUUCCAAUGACCUAUAUUUUGAGACUAAAUAACCGUUUGUUCACUGCAUUGCAGCAAGAAGUUAUUCAUCACUGGUAAAACCUACUAGAAUAAUCGAUGACUAAAGUGCAAAACCAGCAAGUGGCGUGGCGUGCUGUGCGAUACAUCGAUUGAUCUGUCAUUUAAACCUAUGGAAAAGGAUCGAUAAACAGGGUGCUCGCAACGAAUACCUUAAUAAUCUAUAUUUUACCAUAAAUUCAAAUGGGGAAUAGUCGAUUAUCGAUCAUUCACGCCUCGCCAAUGUGAAAAACCACGUGUUGCAGUGUUUCAAAAUAUCUGCUUAGAUCAUUAAAUAUUGACUUUCUCUAGAUAUAUAUGUAUAGCUAAUGACCGAAAUCAGCUGAAGUCGAUAGCGGCUGAAAUGACCGGUCAUUGUCAACAUUGGAUGGCCAAUGUCCAACAUUGGCUGAUUUCAGUCAUUGGCUAUAACAUAUGUAUACCUCGGAAUAUUCUGAGCAGUUUAUUAAUUCAGAUUUUGGGCACAUUCUGAAAUCAAACAGCCGUAAUUGAAUAAAAUGGGACCCAAAUGUUUACAUAUUUCAAAGAAACUGCACACACUUCGAAAGAAUUAUUGCGGUAGGUUUAUGGAGGUUCAAACGACUAA
rnacentral:lncRNA from 1 species